UUAUCGCUGUUUGUAAGAGGUCUGAGAUUAUGAGCAAACUACCCAGUCACACGACAGGGAUAAGAAAAGACUUCCUUCCACAUUAAGGAAUGAUAACGCGUACACCUGGUCUCUGUGGAAGUGGUGGUGAUAGACAGGUGUUGUGAUUCAUCCUGAGCUCUUGGCAUGUUCAGCAACUGAAAGUAGAAAACAAAUUAAGAAAAAGUCGGUGUCUUCGUGCUGAGGGAAGUGUUCAAGGAACGGGGCUCCUGUGAAAGACAGAGGAUGACCCAGUUCUCUUCCUCCGCCCUGUGUGACCUGGAUAUUGGACUCAGGGUGCUCCAUGUGGAAGCCGAACUGAGGAGCCUUGUCCUGGGGGCCCGCGAGAGAAGACCUGCAGGCUCUAGCUGGCGCUCAGCCUCCACAAAUAACGACUUUGAACCGUGCUCAGCUCAGUGUUUUCCAGCAUUGCCUAAACAACUUGACCUGUGGCUCCAUCACCUCCUCCCAGGCAGACUGGUUUGCCCUGUGUCCAGAAGCAGGUGGUGCCAUCUCUCAGACAGGCCUGAAGUCCUGGGAACACCAGUCUCACAGCGGCAGGCUCUAUCAUCACUGUCUGAGAGCGCUGCUGCUGUGUGCCAGGGGUGCUCCCUCUUGGAUCCGGAGACUUUGGUCACUGCCUUCAAAGCCCGGAGUGAUGAGCUCCUUGGUGACCAGACGUGGAGCUGUGAAAACGGGUUUGCAAGUCCAGCACCUGGGUCUCGGGAUUGCUAGCCCUGGGGGAGCGUCUCACCCACCCUUGACUCAUCCUUGUCUGGGUGGAUUAGAAGAUCCCAGCCCGUCGAAUGGCGGCAGAAGUGAAUGAAUAACCACCAUCUUGAAUUAGAAGAACAUGGAGAAUGCUGGCAUCUGCUUCAUCUCCUCUGUCCUUCUGAGACCAGGCAACGCAUCUGCUAGACUCUUGGCACUGACGUACUGGUGAGAAGAUGGAGCUGAUUCUCUGGAGCUGGAGUCACAGGCAGUGAGUUGCCUCAGGUGGGUUCUGAGAACUCAGCUUGAAUCCUCUGGAAUGGGGGACUGGGGUGCUGGAAGGGCAUGAUGCACUCUUGACCACUGAGUCAACUCUCCGGCCCCUACCUUUUCAAACCCAGUAACAUCGAGCAUUUUUCUCUUGUCCCUCUUCACAUGCAUAUAGGUGUGCACAUACAAACACACACACUUAUACACAUGAUUCUAAUUUGAGUGAAAAUUUCCCCUGUUAGAACCAACACUAAAGAGAUCACAAACAUUUUGUGCAGACAUAUUUGAA